AUUGAACGCUGGCGGCAGGCUUAACACAUGCAAGUCGAGCGAGCGGGGUACGGGGGAGUAAUGUCUGGGAAAGUGCCUGAUGGAGGGGGAUAACUAGUGGAAAGGGUAGAUAAUACCGCAUACCAUCGGAUGUCCCCAGAUGGGAUUAGCUAGUAGGUGGGGUAAGGUCUCACCUAGGCGACGCUCCCUAGCUGGUCUGAGAGGAUGACGAGCCACACGGGGACUGAGACACGGUCCAGACUCCUACGGGAGGCAGCAGUGGGGAAUAUUGCACAAUGGGCGCAAGCCGGAUGCAGCCAUGCCGCGUGUAUGAAGAAGGCCUUCGGGUUGUAAAGUACUUGCAGCGGGGAGGCGUUACCCGCAGAAGAAGCACCGGCUAACUCCGUGCCAGCAGCCGCGGUAAUAC
rnacentral:rRNA from 1 species